rnacentral:ncRNA from 16 species
AAGUCGUAACAAGGUUUCCGUAGG